GUGUGACAAUAUCUCGAUACAGCGAUAUAUCGCGAUAUUUUGCAACCCGAUGGGUUAUCGAUAUGCUCCCGCCAAGAAUCGAUACUUUUAUUUAACAUAUUGGCCAUACAAUGGAGUAUGGAUGCUGUAAACUGCUCAAUGUUUGUUGAGCAAUUCCUUGGCGGUCCACUAGGGGCGCUCGGGAGUGGCGGUGAGGGUAAAGUGCGCACAAGUUGUCUAGAGAAGAAGAGAAGCUCCAAGUGGGUUGAAAAAAUAAAAAAGCUCCGUGAGAACGGUGGAGGGAAAAAAUGAGAAAAAUAUUGCUACAAAUCACACAUGGGGACACACUUUAGAUUUUACACCAACAAGAAAGGAAGCAAGGUGAACAAGGACUUUGCUGUAUGCAAGAAUUGUCUAAGAAAAAUAAGUUUCACUGGGAGCUGGUGACGUAGUGAACACUGGAGUUUGUGAGCUUUGCUUUCAUCACUUGAGGUGAGGAAGACUGUGACUGAGCAAGUCUGACAUCUUAAUUGCUGAAGCAGAUAGCGGAAGUGCUCAAACCAAGCAACAAAGUUCAUAUACGAAGAAAAGACCCACCAAUUUUAUAAUUGCCCCACUCCAAGCUCAACUGCUGACACCUACGGCACUUUUUAUUUAUUUUUUUAUCUCUCCAAGCGAUAUCAGUGGUCGUGGUUGGUUUCCUCUAUAUGUGCAGGGGCACAAUUUGCAGUGGAUUUAUAUUUUACAGCAAUGUUGCACAGAAAAGGUGUCACUGUUUAAUAAAUGACUUAAACAGUAUUUUUUUCUAUUUUCAAAUAUCUUUUUUUUUUUUUUUCCGUUUCAACAGUUGUAUCGUAGAAUUUCAUGUAUCCAAUUUCUGACCAAUACAUCGAUAAUCGCUGUAUCGUGAUAUAAUCGUUAUCGUGAGCCUUGUAUCGCGAAUCGUAUCGUAUCGUGAGGUGCCCUGAGGUUCCCACUCCUAGUCAAGACAGUCA